GAUAUGUGUAUUGGUUUAAGGUGGUUGGGAGAAGACCUGGAAAGCAGGAGCAACCCCAUGGGACUUGCUGGACCAACUCCGAUCAGUAAACAUCUCGCUGAGACGGGUUCAUUGCCUAAAGGCAGAGCUCUUGUUCCUGGUUGUGGAACGUAUGUUCUUGGACAAGGACACAGCUUUCUUAAAUAUCUUAUGUUGUGUGCUUGCCAGCAAUGAAACAUUGCAGGUUUAUGAUGUGGUGGCAGUGGCCUGCCCUGAUCGUUAUGUGGUUGGAUUAUCAAAAACUGUGAUUGAAAAAUCAUCAAAGGUGUCAACAGUUCAUCUUUGCCCAAUGCAAAUUUCUUUUGUGCAUUUGAAGCUAGCGUGAGACCUCCAUGGGCACAAAGAAUAGAAAAGCUUCUGAAACCAAGUGGAGAGCUUAUAACAUUGAUGUUUCCUAUGGAUGAGCGUUCUGGAGGUCCUCCUUACAAAGUAUUUGUGUCUGAGUAAUGUGUUCUCCCCUCUUAUCUCUUUUAAUAACAGCAGCAACAUCAUUUACACGUUGUGGCAAAAGAUUCACUCUCUAAUCUUUAAAAUGUUGCAGUUACGAGAAGGUUCUGAUUCCACUGGGAUUUGAGGCAAUGUCCAUUGUGGACAAGGAACGUGCUAUAACACCACGCAAGGUAUAAUAUACAACAUGAAACUUUCAAAUAAGCCUUGAGAUAAU